AUCCAACUGACGAUUCAAAAUAGGACGAAGCAUACGUCUUGGAU
rnacentral:hammerhead_ribozyme from 1 species